UAAACAGUCUGUUUUCCAUUCUGCAGGAAUAGUAUAUAAAAAGAUGUUGAGACUGUGGCAAUUAAGUUUUUUGAGUAAAAUAUAUGGAAUGGUAUCAAGACCGAAAGAUGUAUCUCUUCUAGUAAAUAAAGCGGAUUUUAGUUCUUGUAAAGAAAAAGGCUCUAUCAAAUAUUUAUUACUAUCAUUAACAACAUUUACAUAGUUAGUUAACUCAUUUGAUACAAAGUCAGAAGUAUACUUUUGUAGAAAAUCUGGAAUCCAACUAUCAUUCAACACACUGUCAGGAAUGUAAGUUUUGUUAAAUUUGCGCAUGUAUUUCCAAAUUGAAGACAAAGGAGUACAACGAUUAAAUGAAUUGCACAAGCCUAUCCAGCUAUUUCUUCUUUCACUUUUUAAGAUAAGUUUUUUUAAAGCCCGCAAUCUCUUAAACUCCACAUAAUUUUCAUCAGUGGAGUUGUUUUUAAAAUUAAUGUAACCAUUUUUAGCAUUUAAAACUGCUUCUGUACACUUCUGAUUCCACCAAGGCAACCAAGGAUAUUUAAAAGAUUUUUGUGAACAAGAACUAGUAACAUUAUUACUAUUAGAACUUUUGGAAAACAGACAGCUAGGGAUUGACUGCUUGGCAGCAGAAAGUAAAAUAUUACAAAAGGAAUUAAAAGCAUCUAUUGAAGAUAAAGUGUCAAAUUUAACAUCAUCCAAAUAAGAAACAACUAAGUUACUAUACAUAUUCCAAUUCACCUGCUUAUAAUUAGGGGAGAUGAUAACUACUGCCCAGAGGACUGUCAAUAACUGACCAGUCACAUAAAAGAGCCAAUGAUGGAGUUACCAAAGUCAAGUCAAGAGCAUUAGGACGCCAAGAUGGAGAUCCUAUUGUGGUAGCUUGACCAUUAUUCAGAAUAACAAGACCAUUCUCAUCUAUAACCUCUAAAACAUCUCGAGGCAAUGUAUCAACACAUCCCCACAACAUGUGAUGAGCAUUGAAAUCACCUGCAAAUAUCAUUGGCUCUGGAAUGGACUUAAUUAAACUGUUUAAAUUGUUUUUAUUAAAUGGAGGAUUUGAAUUGGAAGGACUGUAAAAACUCACAAUACUCA